GCUGAGAGAACAAAACUCCCUUUGAAUGCAAACCUAUGAAUGCAAAGUAAUAAUCCCUUAGGGCCAGAGAUUGUAAGAGGAGGCAGAAAACUAUCUUGGGACAUGAGCGUGUCCCAAUAUCUCGGGGCCACCUGCCCAGUGGAGAGGGCCAUGGACAACACAGAGAAAUGUGCUUGAGAAAGGAAGGAAAAGAACUCCCCCACCUCACAGAGUAGGACCGAGGAGGACAGAGAAGGUAAUUAGUUUUUGUGGAACAGAGGAUUUGG
rnacentral:lncRNA from 1 species